AACGCUGGCGGCGUGCCUAAUACAUGCAAGUCGAGCGGACCGAACAGGAGCUUGCCCUUGUUUGGUUAGCGGCGGACGGGUGAGUAACACGUGGGUAACCUACCCGUAAGACCGGGAUAACUCCGGGAAACCGGAGCUAAUACCGGAUAACACCAAAGACCGCAUGGUCUUUGGUUGAAAGGCGGCUUCGGCUGUCACUUACGGAUGGGCCCGCGGCGCAUUAGCUAGUUGGUGAGGUAACGGCUCACCAAGGCGACGAUGCGUAGCCGGCCUGAGAGGGUGACCGGCCACACUGGGACUGAGACACGGCCCAGACUCCUACGGGAGGCAGCAGUAGGGAAUCUUCCGCAAUGGACGAAAGUCUGACGGAGCGACGCCGCGUGAGCGAAGAAGGUCUUCGGAUCGUAAAGCUCUGUUGUUAGGGAAGAAGAAGUACCGUUCGAAUAGGGCGGUACGGUGACGGUACCUAACGAGAAAGCCCCGGCUAACUACGUGCCAGCAGCCGCGGUAAUACGUAGGGGGCGAGCGUUGUCCGGAAUUAUUGGGCGUAAAGCGCGCGCAGGCGGUCCCUUAAGUCUGAUGUGAAAGCCCACGGCUCAA
rnacentral:rRNA from 1 species